UACGAAGGGCAUGGGGGGAAGUGACACCCCCACUGUCUCACUAUCUAGGGGCACACUGACGUCCAUGAUCAUGGCCGCUGUUCUGUGUGUGCUGGUCUGGCUUCUCUUUGGAAUACAGAGGUCGGAAGGCGUGAGGACUGUUCGUAAAGUGACUGUGCAGCGGGGAGGCUCGGCCACCAUACCUUGCCAUUACGAGGAGAAGCACAAAGCCAAGGUGAAGUACUGGUGCCGCGGCUACACCUGGGACACCUGCAGCGUCCUGAUCCGCACCAGCAGUCCACCAGCUCCCGACGCGGAGCUGUCCAUCAGUGAUGAUGUCACACAGUGUGUCUUCACUGUGUUCAUGACAACCCUGCAGGACAGAGACUCGGAUGUUUACUGGUGUGCUGUGGACAUCACAGGACCAGAUGAUAAAGCAUAUCUGAAAAUGAUGGUCAUACCAGGCCCUCCAGAGUUAUACACGGAGAGCAGUGUGUUUUCUGGGCCCGUGUACACGGAGAGCAGUGUGUUUUCUGGGCCCGCGGGCGGGCUAGUGCAGGUGCAGUGUCUCUACGGCAACCGUCUGAGGAGCAGCGUGAAGAAGUGGUGCCGAGGCGGCACGGACGUGUGUCUGACCGCUGGCCGAACCUCCAGGCUGCACAAGUACACGCUGCGCGUCGACGCGAAGACCGGAGCGCUGACCGUCACCAUCAGAGAUCUGAGCCCCAAGGACGCCGGCUGGUACUACUGCACCGGGGGGGACACACAGCUCCCCGUGUUUGUGUCCGUGAACCUGGAGACACACACACCGCCAGUCACACAAGGCAAGACAACAUCACGUACAACUCAAGCUACCACACCAGCGCAAACAACAGCAAUGAAAACAGCUUUCACAAGUGAUGCUACAACCCUGCUGCAGAAAGCCAGUCAGCCAGAAGCCUGUCAACAGACACUGACAGUUCCCUCAGAUGAGUCUAUCCAGACGUCCCUGGGAAAGAUUCCCUCAUUGGAAAUACUUUUAAAAAUCCCUGUUGCAGUGGUGUAUCUGGUAUGUUUGGCAGUGGCGAUUAAAAAGUAUUGUGGUAAGUCAUUGAUGCAAUCUGCCAUAUUUCAGAUUUAAACCCAUUUUAAAUGCUUACUGUCUCAAGAGAGUCUUUCUAGAGGGUAUGGUGUGAGGUGUUCAUCUGCAGCUGUGUGCUGUGGUAAGUUGUGUUGCAAAAAGAAAAGUUACAAAAGUUGCAGGAAGAAUCUGCCACACUGUUAACCUCAGUUUGGUAUUUCUAAAAAACCUCUACGGUGUGUGUGUACCUUCCAUUGAGCAGCAGUGGUGUUAUCACAGUUACUGUUUCUGGCAUGUGUGGGUCAGGGUGUCUUGUCACGUGUGGAUGUGUAAGGUAAUAAGGCUUAGGCCGAAACGCGUCUGUGAAUAAACUGGUCAAAAUAAGCAAUGAGACAAGCUUGAGAGUUCGGUUUUUUCUACUUUGAGUUAAUAGUCUUUUUUCACUCGCACCCUAAAUCGCCUUUAUUUUGGAAUUAGUGCGCGCCUAUCCUUACAAAUAAAGUAAUACGUUCCCAUUGCUCUUCGGCAGAGAUGAACAGAUGAGGACACACGUGGAAAAGUGACGGAACAGUUCAAGGUGAACUUUCCUUUGGCGUUACCUCAUAUAACUGUGAGCAUGGAACUGAAUUGGAACUGAAAAAGCACCUGCUUGCUCACCUGCACAGCUCAUCCGCAUUCAAACUCACAUACUCAUGUUCAUGUGAACUUAGUUCACAUGCUGCCCAGUGAAUCCAAGUGAACACCUGGAUGUUGUCUGUGUGCAUUUAUAUUAUUUUAUACAUGAAUGUAUAUAUGGAUAUCUACAUUAAGCUUUUCUAGCAUUUUUGAGUACAUACUGUACCCUGUUGUAUGUGGAACGUUCUACAUUGUCAUUGUUGUUAUAUGGAAAGUAUAUCAAAAUAAAAACAUCUGAACACAGAA